CUCCUCUCCCGAGUUCAGGCUUCCUGGUGAACCCUCCACCUCUCCCCGCCGCCUCUCCCCGCCUGAGUGCAGGCUUCCUGGGUCAGGGCUUCGCCUGCUUCCUGCAAUUGUGUCCAGGGCGCGGGAAGCUGCCCAGCACAGGCAGGGGCUCCGACAGGAGAUAAAAGACCGUAUCGGCACAGAUGGAGAAGAGACUUUCGUGCCUCUGACCCUCAAAUUACCCAGCUCUCGGCUCUGCGUGGGUCGGCGUGCCCCAGUUUACCUGAGAGGCCAGGUUCACAUUUGGGAAGAAGAGAUUUUCUCCCUCCGCAGCAGCAGCGCAGCCUGCACGAGGUCGCUGGAGGAAACAGACCGCUCUGUCUUCGGGGUCUUGACGGGUAGAGUGGUUUGCCAGAGAACCACCGAAGAGCCUUCCAGCAACUUCCAAGAGUGGCACUUACUUCAGCCCUGGGAAAUCUCUCCUCAGAGCCUGGCACAGGUUUUGGUAUCAGCGGGGCCACGACAAAUGUUCACUGAAUGAAUAAAUGAAUGACAUGGGAUGUAGGAAACAUGAAAUAAAAUGAACUGGGAAGAUU